AUUGAACGCUGGCGGCAGGCCUAAUACAUGCAAGUCGAGCGGAGCGGCGGACGGGUGAGUAAUGACUAGGAAUCAGCCUGGUAGUGAGGGAUAACGUCCGGAAACGGGCGCUAAUACAGCAUACUAUAAGAUGAGCAUAGGGCGGAUUAGCUAGUUGGUGGGGUAAAGGCCUACCAAGGAGACGAUCCGUAACUGGCCUGAGAGGAUGAUCAGUCACACUGGAACUGAGACACGGUCCAGACUCCUACGGGAGGCAGCAGUAGGGAAUAUUGGACAAUGGGCGAAAGCCUGACCCAGCCAUGCCGCGUGUGUGAAGAAGGUCUUCGGAUUGUAAAGCUCUUUAAGUUGGGAGGCGUUACCUACAGAAUAAGCACCGGCUAACUUCGUGCCAGCAGCCGCGGUAAUUC
rnacentral:rRNA from 1 species